rnacentral:rRNA from 2 species
GGUGAACCUGCGGAAGGAUCAUUCGCAC